UGGGGAAUAUUGCACAAUGGGCGCAAGCCUGAUGCAGCCAUGCCGCGUGUAUGAAGAAGGCCUUCGGGUUGUAAAGUACUUUCAGCGGGGAGGAAGGGAGUAAAGUUAAUACCUUUGCUCAUUGACGUUACCCGCAGAAGAAGCACCGGCUAACUCCGUGCCAGCAGCCGCGGUAAUACGGCGGGUGCAAGCGUUAAUCGGAAUUACUGGGCGUAAAGCGCACGCAGGCGGUUUGUUAAGUCAGAUGUGAAAUCCCCGGGCUCAACCUGGGAACUGCAUCGGAUACUGGCAAGCUUGAGUCUCGUAGAGGGGGGUAGAAUUCCAGGUGUAGCGGUGAAAUGCGUAGAGAUCUGGAGGAAUACCGGUGGCGAAGGCGGCCCCCUGGACAAAGACUGACGCUCAGGUGCGAAAGCGUGGGGAGCAAACAGG
rnacentral:rRNA from 1 species